rnacentral:lncRNA from 1 species
AAAAAAUAAUUUUUUAAUUUUUUUUCGAAUUAUACUAUUUCGAAAUUCAAAUCCUAAAUCCUAAAACUCAACUCUAAAUCCUAAACCAUCAAUCCUAAACCCUACUUUUUUUUAAAUACGAACCCUAAACCCUAAACCAUCAAUCCUAAACCCUAUUUUUUUUGAAAUACGAACCAUAAACCCUGAAAGAUCAACUAUAAACCCUAAACCCCGAAACAACAACUCUAAACCCUAAACCCCGAAACAUCAACUCUAAAUCCUAAACUCUAAACCUUCAACUCUAAACCCUAAACCCUAAACUUCAACUCUAAACCCUAAACCAUCAACACUAAACCCUAAACUAUCAACACUAAACCCUAAAUCCUAAAAAGUAAACUCUAAACCAUAAACCCUAAAAAAUUAACCCUAAACCCUAAAACAUCAACUCUAAACCCUAAACCCUAAACCUUCAACUCUAAACUCUAAACCCUAAACUCUAAAAGUAAACCCUAAACCCUUAACCCUAAACCCUAAA